AGAGUUUGAUCAUGGCUCAGAUUGAACGCUGGCGGCAGGCCUAACACAUGCAAGUCGAGCGGUAGCACAGAGAGCUUGCUCUCGGGUGACGAGCGGCGGACGGGUGAGUAAUGUCUGGGAAACUGCCUGAUGGAGGGGGAUAACUACUGGAAACGGUAGCUAAUACCGCAUAACGUCGCAAGACCAAAGUGGGGGACCUUCGGGCCUCAUGCCAUCAGAUGUGCCCAGAUGGGAUUAGCUAGUAGGUGGGGUAACGGCUCACCUAGGCGACGAUCCCUAGCUGGUCUGAGAGGAUGACCAGCCACACUGGAACUGAGACACGGUCCAGACUCCUACGGGAGGCAGCAGUGGGGAAUAUUGCACAAUGGGCGCAAGCCUGAUGCAGCCAUGCCGCGUGUGUGAAGAAGGCCUUCGGGUUGUAAAGCACUUUCAGCGGGGAGGAAGGCGUUAAGGUUAAUAACCUCAUCGAUUGACGUUACCCGCAGAAGAAGCACCGGCUAACUCCGUGCCAGCAGCCGCGGUAAUACGGAGGGUGCAAGCGUUAAUCGGAAUUACUGGGCGUAAAGCGCACGCAGGCGGUCUGUCAAGUCGGAUGUGAAAUCCCCGGGCUCAACCUGGGAACUGCAUUCGAAACUGGCAGGCUAGAGUCUUGUAGAGGGGGGUAGAAUUCCAGGUGUAGCGGUGAAAUGCGUAGAGAUCUGGAGGAAUACCGGUGGCGAAGGCGGCCCCCUGGACAAAGACUGACGCUCAGGUGCGAAAGCGUGGGGAGCAAACAGGAUUAGAUACCCUGGUAGUCCACGCCGUAAACGAUGUCGAUUUGGAGGUUGUGCCCUUGAGGCGUGGCUUCCGGAGCUAACGCGUUAAAUCGACCGCCUGGGGAGUACGGCCGCAAGGUUAAAACUCAAAUGAAUUGACGGGGGCCCGCACAAGCGGUGGAGCAUGUGGUUUAAUUCGAUGCAACGCGAAGAACCUUACCUGGUCUUGACAUCCACAGAACUUUCCAGAGAUGGAUUGGUGCCUUCGGGAACUGUGAGACAGGUGCUGCAUGGCUGUCGUCAGCUCGUGUUGUGAAAUGUUGGGUUAAGUCCCGCAACGAGCGCAACCCUUAUCCUUUGUUGCCAGCGGUUCGGCCGGGAACUCAAAGGAGACUGCCAGUGAUAAACUGGAGGAAGGUGGGGAUGACGUCAAGUCAUCAUGGCCCUUACGACCAGGGCUACACACGUGCUACAAUGGCAUAUACAAAGAGAAGCGACCUCGCGAGAGCAAGCGGACCUCAUAAAGUAUGUCGUAGUCCGGAUUGGAGUCUGCAACUCGACUCCAUGAAGUCGGAAUCGCUAGUAAUCGUAGAUCAGAAUGCUACGGUGAAUACGUUCCCGGGCCUUGUACACACCGCCCGUCACACCAUGGGAGUGGGUUGCAAAAGAAGUAGGUAGCUUAACCUUCGGGAGGGCGCUUACCACUUUGUGAUUCAUGACUGGGGUGAAGUCGUAACAAGGUAACCGUAGGGGAACCUGCGGUUG
rnacentral:rRNA from 1 species